CCUACGGGAGGCAGCAGUGGGGAAUAUUGCACAAUGGGCGAAAGCCUGAUGCAGCAACGCCGCGUGAGCGAUGAAGGCCUUCGGGUCGUAAAGCUCUGUUCUCAAGGAAGAUAAUGACGGUACUUGAGGAGGAAGCCCCGGCUAACUACGUGCCAGCAGCCGCGGUAAUACGUAGGGGGCUAGCGUUAUCCGGAAUUACUGGGCGUAAAGGGUGCGUAGGUGGUUUCUUAAGUCAGAGGUGAAAGGCUAGGGCACAACGGUAGUAAGCCUGUGAAACUGGGAAACUUGAGUGCGGGAGAGGUGAGUGGAAUUCGUAGUGUAGCGGUGAAAUGCGUAGAUAUUAGGAAGAACACCGGUUGCGAAGGCAGCUCACUGGACUGUAACUGACACUGAGGCACGAAAGCGUGGGGAGCAAACAGGAUUAGAUACCCGGGUAGUC
rnacentral:rRNA from 1 species